UGGUGGGUAGUUUGACUGGGGCGGUCUCCUCCUAAAGAGUAACGGAGGAGCACGAAGGUUGGCUAAUCCUGGUCGGACAUCAGGAGGUUAGUGCAAUGGCAUAAGCCAGCUUGACUGCGAGCGUGACGGCGCGAGCAGGUGCGAAAGCAGGUCAUAGUGAUCCGGUGGUUCUGAAUGGAAGGGCCAUCGCUCAACGGAUAAAAGGUACUCCGGGGAUAACAGGCUGAUACCGCCCAAGAGUUCAUAUCGACGGCGGUGUUUGGCACCUCGAUGUCGGCUCAUCACAUCCUGGGGCUGAAGUAGGUCCCAAGGGUAUGGCUGUUCGCCAUUUAAAGUGGUACGCGAGCUGGGUUUAGAACGUCGUGAGACAGUUCGGUCCCUAUCUGCCGUGGGCGCUGGAGAACUGAGGGGGGCUGCUCCUAGUACGAGAGGACCGGAGUG
rnacentral:rRNA from 1 species